GACUAACUUCUGCUUAUUCAUUCUGGCAGAUGUGUCUCUUCAGUUCCUACACAACCCAGAAGCUCUCCUUUAGAGAAAAAAAACUAAUCCUAAAUAGGCUUUUCAGGGAAAUUACAAGAAGAGCCUGGAUUAGGCAGACAGCUUUCACUGGAUUUUGUCUUCUCUCUGAAGCCUGUAGGGUAGUUGGAAAGAGAUUAGCACCGAACACCGUAGUGUUCUUCAUUAGCUGGUAAGAGCCAUUACAUUUUCAGCACAAACCUUGGGAGAAUUGUUAAAUAUUUU
rnacentral:lncRNA from 1 species